GGAAUCUGGCAGACAGAAUAAAGUCAUGGCAACUGAUGCCAUAACACGGUUUUCUUCGGCCAGCUGACUCACCCUGGCAAGGCCUCCAGAGGAUGGGUCCUGCUCUUCUGACCUGGGUUCUUGAGACAGCCGACCUGGGACAAGGGCACAGGAAUCUGAUCAGCUCCUGAUUGCCCCUGGCAUCUCCAUUGUCUCCAUCUCCAUCCCGUGUAUUAGGAGCUGGGUCCUUGUGCCCUGUUCCUCCCCGACCGCAUUGCCUACCUGUCUGUAAAUAGUGCAGGUUCCCAUACAGGGGAACUUCUUCCACGGACCUUCCAGAGCUGCAGCAUAGAGUUUGGAACUCAGCGUUGCCAACACCGCCAGUGUCAAACUUGCUGGUUUCCGGAGAGGAAGGCAGAGAGGAGGGAUGAGCAAAAGAACAAAGACCCCGCCCUGUGCCUGCACCUGCAUCACCCUGAGCUCUCAACUCUCUGAAAUCCCCAUAGCCCUGAGCCCCCUUCAGCAGACAACACACACCGGCCUGUUCUGUACUGCCUGCAGCUAAGUCCACGGAGACUCUGAAGAGCCGAGGUGGCAUGAGAUAGGACUAACAAGGACAGGAACCCUUAGCCACGGGAUGUCCACCAUUUCCCUCUGGCUCACAGUGCCAUGAAGGAGGUACAUGCUCGAUGAGCGUAGCUUUAGAAUUCGCAGCUCUACUACCGGAAAUGGUUGUGUUUAUUUCUGUAGCCCAGGCUGGCUUCAAACGGACCUUCCUUCCUUCCUUCCUUCACCUACCAAUUCUGGAAUUAAAGCCAUGGAAAACCACUAUGACCAGUUGAGAAA